CUCCUCUUCCCCACAUCGCAAAAGCAUAAGGUAGUCUGCAAGGUAGAUGAACUCUUCUCCAGAAUGAUACUACAUAUCCAAGAGGGAAUAUAUCAAGAUUUGCUUUGGAUUGUGUGAACCACGGCAUACUUUCUGUUUUAUUGGAAAUGGAAAAUCAGAAUGAUAACUGUUGUGUCGGUAUUGUUCUGCAAGUGUGUGCACCUCUCGCUAUUAAACUGAAAAUGUUCAUGCCCAGUGGACCUCAGCCUCUGUAUGACUGUAUCCUUCCCCCCUUAGCCUAGUGAUCGAACAGAAUAUAUUCGAGUGCCACGAAAUAUAUAUGCGUCAACGAUCAGUGACCGGUAUCUGUAGAGGUUGCGGACGGUGGCAAACUGAUAAGUUAGCAUCCUGGCUCCCGCAUUUUCGCUAUAAAUAGCGCGAAACAUAAGCCGCAAUGCUGUCACCUCCGGUAGGAAGAAGCUAGGGAGAAGAGGGGCUUUGCAUGAGGGCCAGAGCCUGCUUCAUCUGGUAGCCAAGGAUGACUUGCCUAUAUGCUCUUUCAGAAGCCCCGGUUAUUACAUGGAUGGUUUCAGAUGAGUUCCAUGAUAGGCGGUCACCUUGGCUAGCCUGAGCAGCUCUUGUCUGUCAUGGAAGGCCUCUCCUUCUCAUUCUCUGCCAUAUCUAUCUCAGGUUCUCAGGACUGUUUGAAUUGCAGCUGACAGAUUCAUACAAAGAGGGAGAUUGCUGCCAAAAGGAAUUAUGGACCAGGCUACACAAGAGUGGGAUAUUCUCUGGAACUCCAAAUGACCUAAUUUUUUUACGGAGAAUGGUUUUGAAAUAUAUAAAAAAAUUAGCAAAAUAAAUACGAGAAGGGGACCCACCAGGAGGCCACGAGCCUAGGGCACGCCCUAAACCCCAGGGUGCGCCCCGGAGCUCGUGGCCCCCCUAGCAGGCCUCGAUGCCCAUAUUCUCAUAUAUGAAUUCAUUUUCCCUAGAAAAAAAAUCUUAAGAUUACUUUCGAGAUGAAGCGCCAUCGUCUCGAAGCGGAACCUGGCCAGGAGUACUUCUGCUCUCCGACGGAGCGAUUCCGUCGGGGAAACUUCCCUUUGGGAGGGGAAAUCUAAGCUGUCGUCAUCACCAAUGCUUCCUCCAUCGUGGGAGGACCAAUCUUCGUCAAUAUCUUCAGCAGCACCAUCUCAUCUCAAACCCUAGUUCAUAUCUUGUAUACAAUCUUUGUCUCCCAAACCUCAAAUUUGUAUGUGUGAGUCGCUAGUACUAUUGAUUACAUCUCGUAGUUGAUGCUAGUUGGUUUAAUUGGUGGAAUAUUAUACGUUCAUAUCCAUAAUCAUAUUCAUUACACCUA